GCCUUCGUGGUGUAGUGGUCAACACAUUCGGCGCGUACUCCAGAGGUCCAGGUUCGAGUCCCGGCGAGGGCA
rnacentral:tRNA from 1 species